rnacentral:lncRNA from 1 species
CUAAUGUUCCUGGAUGCAGAGACAUACCUAUUUGCGGCCUACUUCCUAUUCUCCAAGUGCAUUUUAAUUCCCCUGACUGCAUGAUUUUGUUCAGCAUUUAUGAAUAUCAUCUGUCUAAUCUGGAGAAACACGUCUUAUAGUUGGCCACUCUCAUGGUUCUUGUUGCCUUCUGUUGUUUGGAGGAAUCUAAGGAUUUAUGGAAGUUAUGUUGGUAUAUCAGAAGCUUGUUGGUAUAUAUUUGAGUAGAAGGGCUUCAAUGAAGUCAACUUAUACCACUAAGUGGAUUGUUGAUUCUUCGAUGGAUGAGGCUGUAUAAGGGGAUCAACAUUAAUCAAUGUUGCUGACAGGCUGGACAUUCAGCAGCAACCUUGACAAGAGAAUGAAGGCCAAAUUGAGUUUCCUUGAGCAACUCAUUUAACGUUAAGAAUCAAGAUGGUGCCCAAGCUCAGAUGACAUCCUUUCUAACCCAUUUGGAAGGCUCCUCUCAUAGGAGGUGUGAAAGAAAAGAGAAUGGAAAGGAACAGGCUCUUCUCUUGAAGAAAAGCCCUCAGUCCAUACAGCCAGACUUUGUCUACAUAUGCCUUUCUAUGGGAUGCUGAGAGACCAAGGGCUUCUGACAUAGACAUGUGAGAAAUACUGGCUUUAAGUAUACUAUACUCAGUGUCAAAAGCUUUCAGGAUGCAAGAAAUUCCUGAAUUUGAGUCUCCAAAAUUUUAAACAAGGAAAGGAAGUAAAAAUUAUCUCUUUUUCGAUGUAUGGCCCUAUAGUUGGCCAAAAAUGAUUGCUUCUGUUGUUAGAUAUUCAUGUAUAUUUAAGAUUAAAGAAGGUGAUAUUGAUGUGCAAAUAUGAGAGUAAAUUGACAGACAGAUAACCUAAAAAAGUACAGUAAAAUAAAGUUAAGAGUUGUGAUGAAUACCUAAAGGUCCAUUGCCAGAUGAAUGUGAAGACGGAAUGUGAUUUAUAUAUAUAGUGGAAUAUUAUUCAAUUAAAAAGAAAAUGCUAACACUUGCUAAUAUAUAUAAACCUUCAAGACAUUAUGCUAAGUGAAAGAAGCCAGAUACCAAAGGACAAAUAUUGCACUGUUCCACAUAUAUGAAGUGAACAUCACAUAUUGCUGAAGUUCUCAUCAUCAGAAAGAGGCAGAGCUAAGAUUUAAAUCCAGACAUGCCUGGUUCUGAAUUCAGUUGUCUUCCUACACCCAGGAGCUUAUUACAUGCAUUGUGCUAGUCUUCCUGGAAAUCAGGCAAACUCAGUCCACUGCACCUCAUCUCCUUAUGUAAUAACCUGGAGAGCGGUGAGAGCCAUCUGCUUCAAGAGCGACAUAUUUGAGUCCAUAAGGUAAUAGGUUGGCAGAGAACAGAAGGAUUAUGGCAUUGCCAUUUGGCAUUCUUGACUUACUCUGCAUUUAUAAAAUCGAAAUACAUAGUCCAUCAUGUUCUCACAGAGCCUACCAUUAUCAGUCAUUCUGAAAUAAACAUGGUUAGGGACAUCAUAUUCAAAAUAAGUGAUCCUUGUUUUCGGGAAUGAUGUCUGGCAGGAGGAGUUUUUAAAUCCUGCUUUCUGAAGCACUAGCUUACAAAUGACUUUGUGAAGUGUAUUUUGA